GUCCACGUUACCAUGGAGACUGUUUUUUAAUGACAGUCCUCCUUCCUAGGCGUGGUACAGAAAACUCCUGUUCUCAUUCAGCUGGUCUCUGCUGAUGCUGUCGCCAGAGCCAGGGAUGGGAAGAGGAACAUUU
rnacentral:snoRNA from 1 species